CCCUUAGACGUUCUGGGCCGCACGCGCGCUACACUGACCAGUGCAACAAGCAUCCGUCCUUGGCCGACAGGCCCGGGCAAUCUUUGAACGCUAGUCGUGAUGGGGAUAGACUUUUGCAAUUUUUGGUCUUCAACGAGGAAUUCCUAGUAAACGCAAGUCAUCAACUUGCAUUGAUUACAUCCCUGCCCUUUGUACACACCGCCCGUCGCACCUACCGAUUGAAUGGUCCGGUGAAGCCUCCGGAUUGGCGCGCACCUCGGUGCCGCCGAGAAGUUGGCUAAACCUUACCAUUUAGAGGAAGGUGAAGUCGUAACA
rnacentral:rRNA from 1 species